rnacentral:rRNA from 1 species
AUGAACGCUGGCGGCGUGCCUAAUACAUGCAAGUCGAGCGAACGGACGAGAAGCUUGCUUCUCUGAUGUUAGCGGCGGACGGGUGAGUAACACGUGGAUAACCUACCUAUAAGACUGGGAUAACUUCGGGAAACCGGAGCUAAUACCGGAUAAUAUUUUGAACCGCAUGGUUCAAAAGUGAAAGACGGUCUUGCUGUCACUUAUAGAUGGAUCCGCGCUGCAUUAGCUAGUUGGUAAGGUAACGGCUUACCAAGGCAACGAUGCAUAGCCGACCUGAGAGGGUGAUCGGCCACACUGGAACUGAGACACGGUCCAGACUCCUACGGGAGACAGCAGUAGGGAAUCUUCCGCAAUGGGCGAAAGCCUGACGGAGCAACGCCGCGUGAGUGAUGAAGGUCUUCGGAUCGUAAAACUCUGUUAUUAGGGAAGAACAUAUGUGUAAGUAACUGUGCACAUCUUGACGGUACCUAAUCAGAAAGCCACGGCUAACUACGUG